rnacentral:rRNA from 1 species
AUAUCAAUAAGCGGAGGAAAAGAAACCAACAGGGAUUGCCUCAGUAACGGCGAGUGAAGCGGCAACAGCUCAAAUUUGAAAUCUGGUUCUUUUCAGGGUCCGAGUUGUAAUUUGUAGAAGGAUGCUUCGGCGUGUGGCUCCGGUCUAAGUUCCUUGGAACAGGACGUCAUAGAGGGUGAGAAUCCCGUAUGUGACUCGGUUGCCUUUCGCCUAUGUGAAGCUCUUUCGACGAGUCGAGUUGUUUGGGAAUGCAGCUCUAAAAUGGGUAGGUAAAUUUCAUUCUAAAGCUAAAUACUGGCCAGAGACCGAUAGCGCACAAGUAGAGUGAUCGAAAGAUGAAAGCACUUUGGAAAGAGAGUCAAAACAGUAC